CGUGAGGCGGAGGUACGUGCUGUCGUCCAGGGUGGAUUUAUGGGCUUGUUCAAGCUCCGCUAUUCGGCUUGUCAGGUUAGCGAUUUGCGUCGACCUUUGUUUUUUACGUCUAGUGCCGGUUGUUAUGAGGUGUCCUCGGAUUACACAUUUAUGGGCUUCCCAGAGUGUCAGCGGUUGCAUGUCCGGGCUUUCGUUUGUCGUGAAAUAGUCGGUUAGGGCUCGGUUCAUUGUGGUGGUAAAUUCCAGGUCGUCCAGCAUGGAUUCAUUUAGCUUCCACUGUCUUUCUCUUGGCUUGAAGAGCGGAGAUUGUGUAUGGAUCAGUACCGGUGCGUGGUCAGAGUGGUCCAUGAUGUCUAUGUCUGCGCUACGUAGUAAGUUAAGAUACUCUUGGGCUAUGAAAAUGUAGUCUAUUCGACUAUAAUGUGUGUGGACCGCGGAGUAGUGGG